AAAAACUUAGCUGGAAAAAUUUCAAAAUUCCAACAGCUACACAAAACCCAAAAUUUGCAAAACUCCAAGAAAAAAAAAAAAAUGUUACACCAGAUGAAGAAGACAACAAAAAACUUGCAUUGGUAACAAAAAAUUAUCUAAUCCUUCUUUUCAAGAAAAAAAUUCUCCAAAAAGAUUGAGAGACAUUUUGCAAAGUGUCUCAAACCUUUUCAGACCAUUCCCUUUUUUCUCACCGGAAACUUUUUCUUUCUUGAUUUUCCGGCAGCCCCUUUUCUGCUUUAUCAGGUUAAGAUAAGAGUAAAGAAAAAAUCCACAAUGUGAGGCACAGAGUUUUCUCUCUUUACUGGGCAAUAGAGGAGCAUUUGAUGUUUCAUGAAUGUGUCUGCAGGCAGUAUUCAUUGCCAGCUCCUUCUCACUUAUGGUGCUUUGAAUGUCUUUUUUGAGAAGCUGGAACCAGUUUUCUGUCUUUUCAUCUGCUUCUGCAAGCAGAAAUAGACAUGGAUAGAGGAGAUAGAAUAGCCUCUUAUUCGAAUUUGCUGCUUUCUGUCUCUAUUGGGUUCUUGCUCUUUUCAGUAGUCAGUUCACAAAUUCCGUUGGGUUCCAAACUAACCGUAGAAGAGAACAAUUAUUGGGUCUCAUCCAAUGGGAACUAUGCAGUAGGAUUCUUGAACUCCUCGGACCAGUAUAUCUUUGGUGUCCGUUUCAAUUCGAUUUGUAUUCCUAGCAGUGAACAAACAGCCAUUUGGACUGUAGGGAAUGUUAAAGUUAGUAGCAAAGCAUAUUUUGAGCUUUCCAGUGGUGGGGAAAUGAUACUGUUUGAUCCAGCAACGGAAAAAAUUGUUUGGCAAAGCAAAACUGGCAAUGCAUCUGUUGGAUCAGCUGUUCUGCUUGAUAAUGGCAACUUCGUUCUGUUAAAUAGGAAUAAGAUUGCUGUUUGGCAGAGUUUUGAAAGUCCAUCUGACACAUUGCUUCCUGGCCAGAGUUUAUCUGUUGGCCAUACUCUUCGAGCUUCUAGCAGGGAUUCUUUAGCAAGUUAUUACAGUCUUGUUAUGAAUGUUUCUGGUGAGAUGCAACUUAGGUGGGACUCCACUGUCAUUUACUGGACUGUUGGGGGUCCUUCUCAACCUGCUGUCCGGUCCAUUCUUGGCUCUGACGGAAUCCUCCGACUACUUGAUCAAAGAUCGAAAGUUGUUUCGUCUGUCUAUGGUGAAGACCACAGUGAUCCUGAUGUGAAGUUUCGGUUCAUGAGACUAGAUUCUGAUGGUAAUCUUCGGAUGUACUCAUGGGAAACUAAUGCCACGUCAUGGAGAACAGUUUGGCAAGCUGUAAUCAAUCAGUGUGAUGUCUUUGCGACCUGUGCUAACCAAGGUAUAUGCAUCUUUAAUGCAUCGGACUCUUAUGUUUGUCAGUGUCCAUUUAGAUCUACUAGAGACUCAAACACCAAAUGUCUGAUUCCAUACAAACCAAGUUGUGAGUCUGGUUCAUCCAUGAUCCGAUAUGAUCAUAUGUACUUGUACGGGAUAUACCCACCAAACAAAACAGUUGUGCAAACCAGUUUGCAGCAGUGUAGAAGUCUGUGUCAGAAAGACCCGUCCUGCCAUGCCGCAUCCUUCAUCAACAAUGGGACUGCACAAUGCCACAUGAUGAAGUCCCAAUACAUUGGCGGUCAAUCAGACCCCUCUUUGGGUUCCAUUACUUUUGUCAAGACUUGUUCAGAUCCAAUUGCUGUUUUACCUGCGCCUAUACCUGCUCCGAGAAAGGUAUCACAUAAGAUCUGUGUUGCUUGUCUAUUAGAAGUCGCUGCUGGAUCAGUUGUUGUGUUUUUCAUGCUUCAAUUCGGGAUUGGAGUUUACCUGUUCAGGAGAAGGAAAAGUAUGAUGCAGAAAUCUGCUCCGGCCCAUACAGUGCCUAAUGCUACCGGUUGCAUCGUGUUUUCUUACUCCGAAAUCAAAGAUCUGACAGACAAUUUUAAGCAACAAAUUGGACAGAAUGUGUUCGAAGGUGUACUUCCAGAUAACAGGCUUGUUGCGGUUAAAGAUCUUAAUGCCUCUAUAGAAGAAAGGAGAUUUCGGAGUGCAGUCCUAAAAAUAGGAAGUAUAUAUCACAAAAAUCUUUUGAGGCUGGACGGUUAUUGCUGUGAGUCAGGCCACAGGUUAUUGGUUUAUGAGCUUUCCAAAUAUGGUUCGGUUGACAAAUGUUUAGAAGAACCUAGAAUGUGCAAGAGAUUGACAUGGCGGAAAAGAAUAGAUAUAUCUUUGUCAGUGGCGAGGGCCAUAUCGUACUUGCAUACAGGAUGUAGGGAGUUUGUUAGUCAUGGAAAUUUGAAAUGUGAAAACGUGUUCUUAGAUGAUGAAUUAGAGGCUAAAGUUAGUGAAUUUGGGCUGAGGACGAUUCAAGCUGAGGCGUCAAGUAGUGGGGGACAAGCAGAGACAGAUGUAAAAGAUUUUGGCAAGAUGAUGGUUGUAUUAAUCACCGGACGCCAAGAUGUGGAUGAGGCUUGUUAUUGGGCAUAUGAAAAAUGGGUAAAAGCUGAAAGGGAAAUGGCCACUGAUCAGCGAAUUGAGGGUGGCGUCGUCUUGGAAGAGUUAGAACGAGCAUUUAGAAUUGCAUUUUGGUGCUUACAAGGUGAUGAACGUAUGAGGCCAUCAAUGGGAGAGGUAGUCAAGGUACUGGAGGGCACUCUGUCUGUCGAUCCUCCACCACCUCCUUUUGCUCAUAACCAACAGAGGCCACCUGAAGACGAAUCACCAUAUGAAUCAUAUUCAGAACUGUAAAGUUCUAAUUCGUCUAUUUCAUUCCCAAUCAGUCAUCGGUUUUUGUACAGAACUAACUACCAGGCACCUUCAGCUUGACACGAUGUAGAAUGCCCAGUUUUUGCUCAAUCUGAGAAUCAAGAUGAGCACUCCCGCUCUGCCUCCUCCGAAAUUGUAACAUUGGUACUUGCGAUCUCCGGAGUAUCAUAGGCAUCGUGUAUCUUUACCACCAAAACUUAGGCAGAUAGAGAGAAGCCAUUUACGCAUUUUGAACUCUAUCUCCAUUGUUUUGACGCAUUUCGUUGACCGGUAGGUCAUGCUGUGGAAGGUUGUGUGUUGGGUUGUGCAAGCUGUACUUUUGUAGCCUCUGAAUAGAUUUCAUUUUCCAUGAACAUGCAUGGUCAACAUUUCAGCAAUGAA